rnacentral:rRNA from 1 species
UACGUAGGUGGCAAGCGUUGUCCGGAUUUAUUGGGUUUAAAGGGUGCGUAGGAGGGCAGGUAAGUCAGUGGUGAAAUCUCCAAGCUUAACUUGGAAACUGCCGUUGAUACUAUCUGUCUUGAAUAUUGUGGAGGUGAGCGGAAUAUGUCAUGUAGCGGUGAAAUGCUUAGAUAUGACAUAGAACACCAAUUGCGAAGGCAGCUCACUACACAAUCAUUGACUCUGAGGCACGAAAGCGUGGGGAUCAAACAGG